AGCUAGGCCUCAGAGGCAGCACUGGGUAGGACUGAGUGGAGCAAGCAGGGUGGGAGACCCAACCCCAGACCACACUCACCUGGGUUUCCAGAGGUCUCCAGGAGGUGAGGACUUAUUUGGUGGCCCUGCUUCACCCAACUGCUCUUCUAGCAUUUUCCACAUCAUGUGCUAUGAGUUGGAUUAAAUCAGAAUUCUCACACCUGGCUGUAAGUUAGAUUCGCCUGGAGAGCAGGCAGCAAUAUGUCUGAAAGCCCCCUAUGGUACACAACUGCUUGAUGAGAUCAUCAGUGGGAAUUUAGGUAUGAAUGACAAAGAAAUAAAAAUAUGCCUUCACCU